rnacentral:lncRNA from 1 species
GAUAGAGAUCAUCAAAUUCAUAAUGGAAGUGAACUUGUCCAAGGAAGAAUAUAAGAAACUUGAACGAAUAAAACAUCUUUCCUCAUCAACGAAACCAAUAUGUGCAAGAAACGGAGCAAAGGUAUGUCUCUGAGGUUCUUCCAAGCAACUUGAAGUAGAUAGGGUACUUGCAACGAUCCUUACACCGCCCCUUGCAAAACGGACGAGUUACACUAUCAUUGAGCCCCACCUGACACGAUUUGCCCCAAAUCUUUGCUAAACUUCUUGGCAUGAGCCCUGUCGAGUCUCCGAGCACACAACUUGUAUGCAAACUAGCCCGCUGAUCUUUACAAGUGUAGAACCAUUCCUUUGAAUCGGUUUCUUUCUCGCAGAUGUCACACCAAUAUUUACCACUUGCCUCCUCUUCUUCGCCAUAGCACAGUGAGAGAGGAUGAUCGUCUACUCUAUUCUUCACCACUUGUGGUAGAGUGGCGCAUUUGAAUCCCAAUGCAAAUCCACAAUCACCUUCAAUGCACCUGAGGACAUGUGAUUCCCUUCUGUUGCAACCAUUGCAUAUUUCUACUUCUUCUGUUGGAAUGUAAUAUAAGGGAUGUUGGGGAUGACUUGGAUGGAAAAAUGGCUCAGAAAUUGAACCGCACAAGACAUCAAAAUCCUUAUCUUCAUCCUUGUACAUGAAACCAUUGGACCUUCGAUAGCAAGCAUCACAACUGAAGACUUGUAGCUCCUUGUUUGUAACUAAAGUGAGCCGUUCAUUGUGUAGUACAUGUCGUCUCCUUUUAGGACAUUCAGCACAAUUCUGAUGUAGAGAAAAAUCACAAUUCACACAGCUAUAAAAAGAUUGAAGACCGAUGGGAUGGGUGCAUGCGCUGCAUCGUUUGGUAUCCUCAUACAAAACACCAUUCUCAUUGAAUCUGAGGUAAUGCUCUUUGUGGCUGAAAUGUUGUAUUGUGUUGUCGUCUAUCACCACAUAUGGUUCUAUAUCUUCUUCUUCUUCAGGUACUCCUUCUAGUUCUUCCCCAUUCCACACAUCUUUUCUGGUAGCACAUUUAGAAUGAACGACAUAGCCAGGACACCUCUUGCAAGAAAACCCACCACAAGUCCAAUCCACUUUCUUGCGACAAACUCCACACACAGAAUUCAUAGCAGCGUCACCAAGAACCGAAGUACGAGAAACACGGUGAUCAUGCCGGUUGAUGUUAAUGACACGUGGAAGGCCAAGACAAUCUUGAUGGAUCAUGAAACCACAAUCAAAACAUGCGUAAGGGCUUCGAUCUCCCUUUAGACCGCAAGCAUUACAUGUAAAAGAAUCGAGUCUUGGAAGAAGGGUGAGUUGGUGAUCAUGCACUUUCGGAUCAACAAGAGAUUUUUGUGGUGGAAUAAGAACACAAUGGAAAUCCACAGUGAAGUUACAAGAAGAACAAUGAUAAAAAUAUUCACCAAUCUCUGUUCCGCAAAGACGACAUUUACCAUCAGAAUAGUGCGGUGGUGGACCUGUGAGGAGCUUAAGAGGAUGCAAGGAGUGGUAAGGGUGGUUUACCUCUGGUGAGUAAUUUAGCUUUAUUGCUGGGUUCCAUACACAAUCCACGUGGAAGGAUACAUCGCAUUCAUCACAUUUGUAAGGAAGUCCACCACUAGCCUUCCCGCAUUUAGCAGAACAGUCGAACUUAGUCCCUUUCUUGAGAAGUAUGAGCUUGUGGGGAUGGGUCUCAAAAUUGUCAAUAACAUUUGGUGGUUGUUGCUUGGCACAGUGUAGAUCCAAGUCGAAGUCACACAUGUCACAACGGUAGAAUAGCUUUGAGAUUUUCCAACGACAAAAGUCACAUCUGUUACUUGAUUCAUGUUGAAGCUCGAGAGUGUGCCCGGGGUGAGAUGGGUGGUUGAUGAAUUCAGAGAGCUCGUCGUUGCCACAUUUCUUGUGCACGAAAAAGACACAGAGUUUACAAUAGUAGCCGUCACUCUGUGAUUCAUAUCUUCCACAACAAUCACCUCUCCUCAGAUCAUUCCAAGGCAUCAUAGGAUGCUCGUGAAAUGGUAACCACACUCCCUCAGAUUCCAUUUGCUCUCUCUCUCUCUCGUAUACUAAAGAAGAUGAAGAAAGAGGAAGGGGUUGAAUACGUGUAUUAAGAAAAAGAAGAAGUCAUGAGGUUGAACAGUGUGGGCAUCUCUUUCUCUUUCUUUGUUUUCAUAUUUCGAUAAAGAAAAGGUUUUCUAUGCUUAACGUGGGGUUGUCCGCUUUGUUUUCUCUUUUACUUUUCUGGUUUUCUUUUUGCUUUUUCUCCAAAUGCGUAGUAUUGUUUACUUAACCAGAAAAGAUGGUGGACGAUCAAGAGGCUAUAUAAUUCUGGCAGCAUUUGCCUCCUUCAAAUCACGGUGGGAAACACAUGUUUGUGCUCAAACGCAUCAAUGCCAUAACCCCCACAAUAUGGUUAACACAGUGGACUCCUGAACCACGCGACGUUUUCUGAACAACGAUUACAAUCUUCUGAUUCUUAAUUAUUGUCUGCUUCAUGAUUCCUAUAACUUAUGUUAAGUCUCUUGCCAAACUUGAAGGGAUCCAAAUAGUUCUCUCUUUCUUAAGUACAACAUGAAUUUUGUUCGCUCAUGCUAGUUAACUUAUUCUACUCUCUUUUUUUUUUUGUUUUUUCUUUGUUCAUAUGCAGGAAGACUGUAAAGUCUAUAAUCCAAGGGUUUCUUUCAGGAUAGCCUUAUAGAUUUUUUUUCACAUUAUACUUGCAACUAUUUUGAUGAGCAUGACCUAAGUUGAAGGAUAUACAUCACUUUUGUGUCGUAGCUUGACACAGAAGUUACCGUUUAUGUCGGGGAAACCUGUGAUUUUGGUGUCGAUCUGUAAAGUUUACCACCUGAUGAAACUGAAAAGUCUCAAACACUAAACUGAAAAGUCUCAAACACUUAACUCACAAAAGGAGUAAAAGAGUUCCAAUUUCCAGGGUAAUUAACUUCACGAUUUUCUUCUAUAAUAGUUUAUAGAAAAUGCUUUGAUAAACAAUCAUUUUCUACCCAAGAGAAGAGAGACACAUCUUUCUUCCAUGUUUGAAUAGGCAGAGACAACACAAAGAAUGGUGAUGUGUAGGACAACAAUACUCGGUUACACUAUGAUUCACAGUGAUUGUUCUUUUAGUCCUCAAGAAUCUGUUACCUAUAAAUUUAUAAGAAAACAGCUCACAUUUUUAAAAUAAAAUAAAAAUAAGUUCGAUAGAGAUCAUCAAAUUCAUAAUGGAAGUGAACUUGUCCAAGGAAGAAUAUAAGAAACUUAAACGAAUAAACAUCUUUCCUCAUCAAUGAAACCAAAAUAUGCAAGAAACGGAGCAAAGGUAUGUCUCUGAGGUUCUUCCAAGCAACUUGAAGUAGAUAGGGUACUUGCAACGAUCCUUACACCGCCCCUUGCAAAACGGACGAGUUACACUAUUAUUGAGCUCCACCUCAAACGAUUUGCACCAAAUCUCUGCUAUACUUCUUGGCAUGAGCCCUGCAGAGUCUCCGAGCACACAUUCUGUAUGCAAACUAGCCCGCUGAUCUUUACAAGUGUAGAACCAUUCCUUUGGAUUGGUUUCUCUCUCACAAAUAUCACACCAAUAUUUACCACUUGCCUCUUCCUCUUCGCCAUAGCACAGUGAGAGAGGAUGAUCGUCUACUCUGUGCUUCACCACUUGUGGUAGAGUGGCGCAUUUGAAGCACAAUACAAAUCUACAAUCAUCUUCAAUGCACCUGAGCACAUAAUCUUCCUUGCUGUUUUUGCAACCAUUGCAUAUUUCUACUUCUUCUGUUGGAAUGUAAUAUAAGGGAUGAUGGGGAUGACUUGGAUGG